UGAGGUUUCUGGACUGAGCCAUGCUACUGGCUUCUCUGAUUCUCCGGCCUACAGAUGGUCUAUCAUGGGACCUCU
ensembl:miRNA